ensembl:misc_RNA Y_RNA Y RNA
UGCUGGUCCGAUGGCAGUGGGUUAUCAGAACUUAUUAACAUUAGUGUCACUAAAGUUGGUAUACCACCCCCCCCACUGCUAAAUUUGACUGGCUUUAA